rnacentral:lncRNA from 1 species
CUAGCACCUGCUAACAAAUCUCAGUUAUCUGCAAGGUAUAUCUAAUCAUUUUGUUUUCCACGAUAAAGAAAAGGUAUGACCAUGGGCUUCUAAUAUUUCUCUAUACAUUUGACAUUUUGACAGUUCCUCAAAAAAAAGUAAAUCCAUCAUUGCUAACAUUUAGGAGAAAUUAUAUUUUUCAGUUCCAUAACUAUUGUCAGAGUUUUGCACGAUUUGUAGAAGAAAUCUGAUAGACUUGUUGUGUUUGUUAUGCCCUUCUAUACAUGGUAUUAUUAUUGUGGUGGAUAGGCCAGUCAUUGGAGUUGGAGCGUGGUAGAUGGGUUGGAGCAGAGCGUGGUAGAUGGAUUGGAGAACAGACCAGGUCAUGCAGACAGCUCUAACGGCACAUUAGAGUUAACUUUAUAUUUCUGGCUAACUUGGAGGCUUGGUUGCUUCCCCGUCAGUUCACUACUUCUAAUUGUUCGAGUGCAGCUGUACUCGAGACAAACACAAUCCAGUAAGGUAGUUUGUUCAAAUAGAUCUCAGAUGUUGAAUGAAGAUUAUAAGAUGUAGGUUAAAUUGAAGGAAAUAGGAGAGACCUGCACGUGUACUCAUCAGGUUGAAUUGGGUUUUGAGAAAAUCUCUGAAAGUGAAAACCGUGAUAUUGAUAUGUCUGUGAUUGAUAGUUCAUGCGGUGUUGUACAAUGCAAGAAGGCGUUGACCGUCUUAUAUAUGUAUUGCUGCUCUCUGCCAGAAACCAAAUAAAUAACACUUCUAUGUUGUUGCUCACUGAUCGAUGCUAAAUAUAUGGCUUGUUCUUGAGGAUUGUUUUCACUUUUUGAUUCAUAUGGAAUUUGAGGAUACGGAUGACACUG